AGGCGCAGAACUAACAGGAUUCCCCUAGUAACUGCGAGUGAAGCGGGAAAAGCUCAAAUUUAAAAUCUGGCAGUCUUUGGCUGUCCGAGUUGUAAUCUAGAGAAGUGUUAUCCGCGCUGGACCGUGUACAAGUCUCCUGGAAUGGAGCGUCAUAGAGGGUGAGAAUCCCGUCUUUGACACGGACUGCCAGGGCUUUGUGAUGCGCUCUCAAAGAGUCGAGUUGUUUGGGAAUGCAGCUCAAAAUGGGUGGUAAAUUCCAUCUAAAGCUAAAUAUUGGCGAGAGACCGAUAGCGAACAAGUACCGUGAGGGAAAGAUGAAAAGAACUUUGGAAAGAGAGUUAAACAGUACGUGAAAUUGCUGAAAGGGAAACGCUUGAAGUCAGUCGCAUUGUGUGGGAAUCAACCUUGCUUUUGCUGGGCGUAUUUUCCAUAUGAUGGGUCAGCAUCAAUUUUGACCGUUGGAUAAAGUUCAAGGGAAUGUGGCAUCUUCGGAUGUGUUAUAGCCCUUGGUCGUAUACAACGAUUGGGAUUGAGGAACUCAGCACGCCGAAAGGCCGGGUCUCGUACCACGUUCGUGCUUAGGAUGCUGGCAUAAUGGCUUUAAUCGACCCGUCUUGAAACACGGACCAAGGAGUCUAACAUGCCUGCGAGUAUUUGGGUGAAAAACCCGAGUGCGUAAUGAAAGUGAAAGUUGAGAUCCCUGUCAUGGGGAGCAUCGACGCCCGGACCAGACCUUUUGUGACGGAUCUGCGGUAGAGCAUGUAUGUUGGGACCCGAAAGAUGGUGAACUAUGCCUGAAUAGGGUGAAGCCAGAGGAAACUCUGGUGGAGGCUCGUAGCGAUUCUGACGUGCAAAUCGAUCGUCAAAUUUGGGUAUAGGGGCGAAAGACUAAUCGAACCAUCUAGUAGCUGGUUCUGCGGGU
rnacentral:rRNA from 1 species